AAAAGACAGUAUCAAUAUAUCUUUUAUUUGUGGAUCAUCUGAAAUUUGUAUAGUCCCUGAUAUUUGUAACCAGAUUUUUCUGCACCUCAAAUUUUUACCUUCCUUAAGGUAGCCAUAUAUUUGCUUCUUCAUUCUAUUCUGUUGCAAUAGUUUAUUUUUGGUGUAUCAAGUUGUAUGUUUUGUUCUUUCCCAGUAGCUUGAAUCAUAUGUCAAAUUCAAGAACCAGGUAUCUUAAGACAAACCAACCAUCAAAUCUGGAGAAAAAUAGCUACUUUCAAGAAUACAUGCUAAAAUAAAUCUGUGAAAACAACUCAGCCACUCACUGAGAAACAGAGUCCCAGACCCAAAAUGGAAGAGGCCUGUACAACCAGAGGCAGUGGCAAAAACACCAGAUAAUAUUCCCAGGCAGGUCCAGCCCGGAGGAAAAAAAGUGGUAUGAAAAAUUGAAACAGCUGCCUGGCCGGAAACCAUCCCACUGAUGCCAGCAGCUGCCCUGCCAGACCACGCUGUGAGGGGCCUUGUGGUAUCUGAAUCCACACAACAGAGGUGCCGGGGG
rnacentral:lncRNA from 1 species